rnacentral:misc_RNA from 1 species
GAUGAAGAACGCAGCGAAAUGCGAUAAGUAGUGUGAAUUGCAGAAUUCAGUGAAUCAUCGAAUCUUUGAACGCACAUUGCGCCCUUUGGUAUUCCUUAGGGCAUGCCUGUUCGAGGGUCAUUUAAACCUUCAAGCUAAGCUUGGUGUUGGGUGACUGUCCGCUUCACUGCGGACUCGCCUCAAAAUUAUUGGCGGCCGGUACAUUGGCUUCGAGCGCAGCAGAAACGCGAACUCGGGCCCGUCGUAUUGGCUCCCAGAAGCUAUCUUCACAAUUUUGACCUCGGAUCAGGUAGGGAUACCCGCUGAACUUAAGCAUAUCAAUAAGCGGAGGA